rnacentral:misc_RNA from 1 species
UCCUCCCUCACACCCCUUGGGGUGUGGUGUUGGACCAGGAGCGGCGAGAGCCUCCUCCGGUCUCAAAGACAAUGACGGCGUCCGUGGGAGCCUCGGUGCAACGAGCUUUUCGGAGCACGCGUCGAGUGUUGUGUCCCUCCGGGCCGGUCUUCCCUUUUUAUUUUACCA